AGAUGUCCUUGCUCGCAGAGCAGCUCCUUCCUGGCGGCCACCAUCCCCUCUGCUGAUGCGGUAGCGUUGCCUCGCUGCUGUCUUUCCCCCGCUGUGUGGAGAAGAAGGGCUGGCUGCUCGUGAAGUGUGAGCUCGGGAGGAGAAGGAGCCCGACCCUGCGUGCUAAUUGCUGUUCCGGUGUCCCUGCUGCAAUUUGUUUCACCACUAGCCAUGGCCUCCUCUAAUCUGGUGGUGGCUAUAUUAGUGGAAAGUAAGAUUUAUGAUUUCAGCCACUGGGAAACACAUACUGGGUUGCACAGAUGAAGUGCAGAGUAUUUGGCCUAGAUUCUGCCAGAUGUAAAUCCGCUGAAAUGACUACACAAAUUGGACAGUCUCUGCUGCCUGCUUUUCCCCAAUUUAAUGCUUUAAUAAAAUCAAAUUAAUAAAGACAAAUUAAAAGACA